GCGCGCAGCAACGCCUCCAGGCAAACCCACGUGAACCUCGUCUAGCCACAGGCCGCGCGCAGCAACGCCUCCAGGCAAACCCACGUGAACCUCGUCUAGCCACAGGCCGCGCGCAGCAACGCCUCCAGGCAAACCCACGUGAACCUCGUCUAGCCACAGGCCGCGCGCAGCAACGCCUCCAGGCAAACCCACGUGAACCUCGUCUAGCCACAGGCCGCGCGCAGCAACGCCUCCAGGCAAACCCACGUGAACCUCGUCUAGCCACAGGCCGCGCGCAGCAACGCCUCCAGGCAAACCCACGUGAACCUCGUCUAGCCACAGGCCGCGCGCAGCAACGCCUCCAGGCAAACCCACGUGAACCUCGUCUAGCCACAGGCCGCGCGCAGCAACGCCUCCAGGCAAACCCACGUGAACCUCGUCCAGCCACAGGCCGUGCGCAGCAACGCCUCCAGGAAAAAGACCAGGAAUCUGAAAGGACAUCAAGGAGUGGCCAUGAACGCACCAUGUGCCAUGAGGUCAUGGAGACCAUAACACGGCGGGGAUGCUGGAGAAACUGCCCAUGUCUUACCCUCCCAGGGACACAGUACUCUUCCUGGAUACAUGGAAGCAUUCGUUCAUUCAUUUUACAAAAUAUAUUGCUUUUCUAUAAAGAACACAGGAUUAUAAAGAUAUAUUAACUGUAUCCCCAGCUGCCCCUAAGAAUGUUACUGAGACAGACCAAAACUAAAAUACUAACAGCAACCAACUAGACACGCAAACAACCAAAACACUCACCCUGUCCCACGCUAAGGGAAACAGCGGGAUCGUAGGGACCGGUGUCCAAACAAGACUACGUGCUUAGGGAUGGUUUAGUAAAAAGUAGAGCUUGAGAGAGAACUUAAUGGAGAUAAAGAAGCUAGCAGGGUGAAAACACGGAUUGCUGGCAUUCUAGGAAAAGGAAAUACCAUUUCUGGAGACACAAAUUUAUGUAAAUGCAUGGCAUAUUUGGAGAAUAUAAAUAAUUUCUGUGAAUAAAAUACAUCAAAUUAGAUAAAUACAGCUAAAUAGUAUAAGCUUUAUCCUAAGGGUUAUGGAGAGCCAUGAAAAGGACCUCACUGCCCCACAUAUAACGUGGAAAACUCACUCAUGUGGCAGGCAGCCUAGGGAGAAUCUGGGUGGGACAUGUCUGGAACAUCACUGCACUUGCGUUAAGUAAUGACUACUGGGGUGAAGAAUGGGAAGAAAUUCAGAAGGAACUUCAUGUAUACAGGAUUUGACCUGGGUCUGUAGGUCACGGAGGCUGCAAUCAUGGAAAGCAAUGUUUGGAGUUGGCAAUAUGAAGUCCCAGUGUUUGGGGUCGUUCAGGAAAUGCUCAUAAGGGAACAGGAGGAAGAAGAGCAGCUUCUCUGUCCCGAGGCUAACACACCCAAUCCAUGCCUGGUGCUCACACAGACCUUCUGUCCACAGCACUGUGCGGCAUCAGC
rnacentral:lncRNA from 10 species